CCUUUGACGUUAGCGGCGGACGGGUGAGUAACACGUGGGUAACCUACCUAUAAGACUGGGAUAACUUCGGGAAACCGGAGCUAAUACCGGAUAAUAUUUCGAACCGCAUGGUUCGAUAGUGAAAGAUGGUUUUGCUAUCACUUAUAGAUGGACCCGCGCCGUAUUAGCUAGUUGGUAAGGUAACGGCUUACCAAGGCGACGAUACGUAGCCGACCUGAGAGGGUGAUCGGCCACACUGGAACUGAGACACGGUCCAGACUCCUACGGGAGGCAGCAGAC
rnacentral:rRNA from 1 species